UGACCAGACUCCUACGGGAGGCAGCAGUGAGGAAUAUUGGUCAAUGGGCGCGAGCCUGAACCAGCCAAGUCGCGUGAGGGAAGACGGUCCUAUGGCUUGUAAACCUCUUUUGUCGGGGAGCAAAAGACGCCACGCGUGGCGUUCCGAGAGUACCCGAAGAAAAAGCAUCGGCUAACUCCGUGCCAGCAGCCGCGGUAAUACGGAGGAUGCGAGCGUUAUCCGGAUUUAUUGGGUUUAAAGGGUGCGCAGGGGGAAGAUAAAGUCAGGGGUAAAAGUGGGGGGCUAAACCUUGUCGAGCCGUUGAAACUGGUUUUCUUGAGUGAGUGAGAAGUAUGCGGAAUGCGUGGUGUAGCGGUGAAAUGCAUAGAUAUCACGCAGAACUCCGAUUGCGAAGGCAGCAUACCGGCGCUCAACUGACGCUGAAGCACGAAGGCGUGGGUAUCGAACAGGAUUAGAUACCCGUGUA
rnacentral:rRNA from 1 species